rnacentral:rRNA from 1 species
UGGGUUAGUGGCAGACGGGUGAGUAAUGCAUAGGAAUCUGCCUAGUAGUAUGGGAUAGCCACUAGAAAUGGUGGGUAAUACUGUAUACGCCCUGCGGGGGAAAGAUUUAUCGCUACUAGAUGAGCCUAUGUUAGAUUAGCUAGUUGGUAGGGUAAAGGCCUACCAAGGCAGUGAUCUAUAGCUGGUCUGAGAGGAUGAUCAGCCACACUGGAACUGAGAUACGGUCCAGACUCCUACGGGAGGCAGCAGUGGGGAAUAUUGGACAAUGGGCGCAAGCCUGAUCCAGCUAUGCCGCGUGAGUGAGGAAGGCCUUAGGGUUGUAAAACUCUUUCAGUGGGGAAGAUAAUGACGGUACCCACAGAAGAAGUCCCGGCAAACUCCGUGCCAGCAGCCGCGGUAAUACGGAGGGGGCAAGCGUUGUUCGGAAUUAUUGGGCGUAAAGGGCAUGUAGGCGGUUCGGUAAGUUAAAGGUGAAAUGCCAGGGCUUAACCCUGGAGCUGCUUUUUAAUACUGCC